GUACUCGUUUUGGUAGCACAUAUACUAAAAUUGGAAUGAUACAGAGAAGAUUAGCAUGGCCCCUGCACAAGGAUGACGCGCAAAUUCCUGAAGCAUUCCAUAUUUUU
ensembl:snRNA U6 U6 spliceosomal RNA